rnacentral:rRNA from 1 species
UCAUGUAAUGACGCCUACAAUGUAAUUCAUUGAAUCCCAUCAUAACUCAAUAGUUAAGCGUGCUUGGGCUAAAGUAGUAAUGAGAUGGGUGACCUCCCAAGAAGUCCUAGUGUUUUACAUUCC